UACGUAGGGUGCGAGCGUUGUCCGGAAUUAUUGAGCGUAAAGAGCUCGUAGGCGGUGUGUCGCGUCGGUCGUGAAAACUUUCAGCUUAACUGGGAGCUUGCGGUCGAUACGGGCAUCACUGGAGUUCGGCAGGGGAGACUGGAAUUCCUGGUGUAGCGGUGAAAUGCGUAGAUAUCGUAAGGAAGACCAGUGGCGAAGGCGGGUCUCUGGACAGUUCCUGACGCUGAGGCACGAAGGCCAGGGGAGCAAACGGG
rnacentral:rRNA from 1 species